AACGAGAUUCAAGUCGUGAUCGAAGGAAAAACAAAGUUUACGAGGAAUAGGCUCGAUUGUUAAAAAUUUUGUACCGAGUUUUAACAAGCCGGCUUGAGAAUUGGGAUAGGUCGAAGACUCGUUCACACUAUCCGAAGGCCUAAAUUGGUAAAAUGGCUUGUGUGUUUUGAAUGUGGCAUGUAUGGCAAAAUACUCACUUUGUGUAAAUGAUCUUAUGAUAUGGCUAUGGUUUGGAAAGUAAAGGGUUUGUAAAUGAUUAGCCAUUGGAAUGGCCAAUCUAAGUCAUAUUUGAUGUUAUGUA